rnacentral:tRNA from 3 species
GCCCUCAUCGUCUAUCGGUUAGGACAAGGGAUUCUCAAUCCUUAAAGCGGGGUUCAACUCCCCGUGGGGGCACCA